rnacentral:rRNA from 1 species
AUGGAUAGAGUCGAUGUAGAUUCAAGUAUAAUAAAUCUUGAGCGCCUAGGGGUUAUUGAACUAUGUGACAAGAACAUGAAUUAUGUGUUUAGCAUCCCAUGUGGCGAUUCAACCAUAGAAGGCGAAGGAGUCGAGCCGUCAGCAGCUUGCAUUGAGUAUACCCGUGUGCCAGCAUCGUUUACUGACGGAGGCACCCGCAGCCUGAAAGCUGCAGAGGCAUACUUAAGCAGAUGCAUAACAGAAUCAUCUACUCAAUUAGAGCAGGACUGCUUCAAAAUUGCUUUUGUUAUUUUUGUUGUUGGUCAUGUGCUGGCACCUGCUGCGAAGCACGAUUAUAUAUCAAUUGAUUUCUGGGCUGCACUGAAUGAUAUCAGCAAGAUAAAGGAUUGGAAUUGGGGAGGAUACGUGUUGAAAAAUCUUUUUCAAGCUGUCAAAAAGUUCAAGGCAGAUGUUUUGAGGAGAAACCCAACCGUGCAUAUAGUUGGAUGUCAUCUGUUUCUGCAGCUUUUUGUGCUUGAUAGCCUCGAGCUGGGUGUUCUAAACAGGGCAAGAGGUGUAACCCCGCGUAUAGGCUUGUAA